rnacentral:lncRNA from 1 species
GAACCUACUUCUCAAAUAUGCUUCCUACUGUCUUCACUGACCACAGAAUCAGACUAACAACAAGAAAGUUUUAAUCCUAUAUUUUUUUAUCCAAAUCUUCAUCAAUGAAAGCAGUAAAGAUGUGUUAUUUUGUUCAUGAAAUCAACAUGAAAGUUGUUAUAUUUUUCUUUGCUGAUGUUGUGUCAGACGGAGAACUAUGUUAGUGUGAAGUCUUGUCAAAGUCUUGUCUUCCAAUCCAGGUGUGACGACAACUCGACCAGCGCCUCUUGUCAGCAUCCAGGUGAUCACUCGCCAGGUGCUGUGCUAGUACUUCUUCCUUUUGAGAACUGGGAUACGACCCCAGCCUGUUGGGUCUGUGAGUCUUUUGCAGGUAACAUGUGAAAAUGUGUUUGAAUAACGAGGGCAAGAAGUGCGUUCCACAUCGAGGUCUUCCUGCCUUGUGUGAUGAAACAACGACUCCGGUGAUAAACACGGCGAAGACGAGCGCUGGAAGCCGUCAGGUGGCGCAGUGGACGAUACUUUCAAUAGGAAAUAGUGUAGACAUUGAGGAACAUACAAAAUGGUCCUUUGACUUCUUUGACAUCGUCCUCCAGCUGAUCCCCAGCCCCUGUAAUAUCUGCUUCGUCCUGAAUAAAUUUUGCAAUUUCGGUUGUCAGCCGGGAGUGUCGUCCGUCCACGUACGAGUUCUUGUGUUUCCUGACUACACCUGCUGUCUUGUUGAGUAAUCAUUGUUUCUAACAUCACUCAGAGGCCCUACAGCACGACCAUGUGGACACAAAUAACAGAAUAAAAGAAAACACCUUUUUCCUCUCUCUCUUAGGAUCAACUUGAACACGCCACCUCUAAGCCCCCAAGAUGGCAGCUUACCUGGCGAUGUUACCUGACGAGUGUCCGCGAUUCAAAUGUCAAGACACGAGGGAUCCUUUAGUCUACCUACUACUACACACCUUCGAUGUGCGAGAACACGGGAACAGUGGCCACAGGACAUGAUGGCUGAAGACAUGGCAAUCGACAGUUGUGACAUUGCGUCACACUUAUUACACCGCUCGGUUCACGAAACCGGUUGGACGAGAAGAUGACAGGUUUCCUGUCUGUCAGUGACUAACAGUUUCUUUAAAAGCUUCCCUCCCCCUAUAUUGUGCCUCACCUACGCAGGUCGUUAAAUCAGGGGGUCAGAGUUAAGUGUAUCGAUCCCUCUUAUUCAGCCUGGGGUCAUCACGUGACCUAUUGAGAGAACAAUUGCCUUGAAGAGGUGGACGUGGCGACAGGACGGACUGUGACGAGCUUUUGCCGUGGGUCGGAUGGAGUUUUCGUUUCGAGACACAAGCAGGCUUAAGGCUCGUUCACACAAAAGUAGAUUUCUAUUGUAAUCGAGCUUUGGGGACUUAGCAGACUUAAAGUGUAAAGCCUAUUAAAAUGUACGAUGGAGGUCGCAUUCCUUGACCGACAUAAGAAGAAUCUGUCAAACUUCAAGUCUUUGGUUGGGUGGCUUAACAUCAGAGUUGCGUGGCUGGUCAUGAAAGCCCAGCUUUCUAGUGGCUGACAGAUUUCGAAUAAUCCGAGCAACUCUUACUUUCUACCCUACCUGGCCUGUCAACCAACAUUCCUGCUGGGGAAAAGGGGUAGGGAGUUGUUCUUCCUAAUAGGCGAAUACCAAGGGAUGACGGAAAGUUAGUAUCACCGUGAUGCCCAACCCUAACCUGGAUACCCAGACCGCAGUGCUCAAUCCGUAGGAAGUGAUAGUUUGUACGAAACUCUUAGACUGGAACCCUUGACAUCUUGUAUCUACAGUGAGUCAACUUUUUCCAAGAACCUUGGGAACUUAAUGUUUUAAACCGCGUCAGGUGAAUGAUGGAAUAAAGCAAUAAACGAACAAGGAUCUAAGUAUUGUUCAUACUGUUAUUCAAACCAGAUCCGAAAGUAUAUGCACACCUGUCAUAAAACAUACUAAGCAUAUAAAGCAUCAGCUGGUAAGUCUCUCGUCUGCUGACCUCUCUCUCUAUCCACACCUGUCAGCAUCAUGGCGGCUGCGCGUGUCUGCGAUUCCAAAGCGCUUGUUGCUGAAGUACCGAGUCUUGUGUCAACAGACGACUGAGGAAAACACAUAAAAAAGAAAAGAAAGAGCUUCUAUUAGGAGAACUAAAUUAAGCUGAACUUUCUCAGCAAAUGCCUUCAGCCCACGCUUCUCCAUCGACCGACGAACAAACAGUUGUCGCAGAAGGAAAACGUUGACAGGAGGCCGCCAUCAUCUUCAUUAUCACAAUUUCUACAACGCAGUUUGCACUGCGCAUGCGUGCAUUCAUUCUGCUCCCUCCACCCUGCCGGAAAGCCUCUCCCCCCGCCUCUCAGAAUACCAUCGUCUGUCAUCAGCCCCGUUCUUACCGGAUGUCUUUACCCUAUUCAAACUCUCCUCUCCCCACCAUCCACCCAUCCACCUCCUUUUGAAUUCUUCUGAAUGACUCGGUGGCACGUAACACAGCGAGGCAAUAACCGGCCCCUCCCUACCCCACCAUCACCUCCCCUCAUCCCCUCAUAACACUCUUCCUUCCUGCUCGACAGUCCCUCACUCCCCCUCCCCACCACAUACCACCAUCCACCCGUAUUGCUGUGUGAGUCGUGUUUUCCUUCAAUCUCCACUCGGGUGAAUGCGGUCCCUAACCUGAGGCGUUGAAAAAAAAAAAGGAAGCUGUGUUUACAAGACUUUCUAUAUUUGUAAACCUCGCGCCCAUCAUCGGCGAUGAAAGCGGUUUGACUGAGCCUCGACAUUUCUAUUCACAACAUGGAAGGGGGAUCGGGCUCGAGAUCGUUACGUCGUGUUACCCGAAAAUAAAACAUUUUCCCUUCUUCAUCUUGUCAAGUGCCCACCCCGCACCCCGCACCUCGCUAUAAACGACCUCGGGUUUAUGUUGAGUGCAAUAAUUUCUUGAGCAACUGACAGACUCAUACAUAUGAAGCGGCCAUAAAGAGCGAGACGCCCGCAGAUGAUGGCAUUUCUCUUGUCGUCUGCUUGCAGUCACAACAUUCCAG